GUGUCAGCCGCCGCGGUAAUACGGAGGGUGCAAGCGUUAUCCGGAUUCACUGGGUUUAAAGGGUGCGUAGGUGGAUUAGUAAGUCAGUGGUGAAAUCUCCGGGCUUAACCCGGAAACUGCCAUUGAUACUAUUAGUCUUGAAUACCGUGGAGGUCAGCGGAAUAUGUCAUGUAGCGGUGAAAUGCUUAGAUAUGACAUAGAACACCAAUUGCGAAGGCAGCUGGCUACACGAGCAUUGACACUCAGGCACGAAAGCGUGGGGAUCAAACAGGAUUAGAUACCCCCGUAGUCC
rnacentral:rRNA from 1 species